rnacentral:rRNA from 1 species
CGGCGGACGGGUGAGUAAUGUAUGGGGAUCUGCCCGAUGGCGGGGGAUAACUACUGGAAACGGUAGCUAAUACCGCAUAACGUCGCAAGACCAAAGAGGGGGACCUUCGGGCCUCUUGCCAUCGGAUGUGCCCAGAUGGGAUUAGCUAGUAGGUGGGGUAACGGCUCACCUAGGCGACGAUCCCUAGCUGGUCUGAGAGGAUGACCAGCCACACUGGAACUGAGACACGGUCCAG